GAUGAACGCUGGCGGCGUGCCUAAUACAUGCAAGUCGAGCGAACGGACGAGAAGCUUGCUUCUCUGAUGUUAGCGGCGGACGGGUGAGUAACACGUGGAUAACCUACCUAUAAGACUGGGAUAACUUCGGGAAACCGGAGCUAAUACCGGAUAAUAUUUUGAACCGCAUGGUUCAAAAGUGAAAGACGGUCUUGCUGUCACUUAUAGAUGGAUCCGCGCUGCAUUAGCUAGUUGGUAAGGUAACGGCUUACCAAGGCAACGAUGCAUAGCCGACCUGAGAGGGUGAUCGGCCACACUGGAACUGAGACACGGUCCAGACUCCUACGGGAGGCAGCAGUAGGGAAUCUUCCGCAAUGGGCGAAAGCCUGACGGAGCAACGCCGCGUGAGUGAUGAAGGUCUUCGGAUCGUAAAACUCUGUUAUUAGGGAAGAACAUAUGUGUAAGUAACUGUGCACAUCUUGACGGUACCUAAGCAGAAAGCCACGGCUAACUACGUGC
rnacentral:rRNA from 1 species